GAACUGCGAUAAGUAAUGUGAAUUGCAGAAUUCAGUGAAUCAUCGAGUCUUUGAACGCAAAUUGCGCCCCCUGGCAUUCCGGGGGGCAUGCCUGUCCGAGCGUCAUUGCUGCCCUUCAAGCCCGGCUUGUGUGUUGGGUCGUCGUCCCCUCCGGGGGACGGGCCCGAAAGGCAGCGGCGGCACCGCGUCCGGUCCUCGAGCGUAUGGGGCUUUGUCACCCGCUCGAUAAGGACCGGCCGGGCGCCAGCCGGCGUCUCCAACCUUUUUUUCUCAGGUUGACCUCGGAUCAGGUAGGGAUACCCGCUGAACUUAAGC
rnacentral:misc_RNA from 1 species